rnacentral:rRNA from 1 species
GAGUUUGAUCCUGGCUCAGAACGAACGCUGGCGGCGUGCUUAACACAUGCAAGUCGAACGGGAUCCAGAGCUUGCUCUGGUGAGAGUGGCGCACGGGUGAGUAACGCGUGGAUAACCUGCCCUGGUAUCUGGAAUAACAUCUCGAAAGGGGUGCUAAUACCGGAUAAGCCCACGGCUCCUUCGGGAGCUGCGGGAAAAGGUGGCCUCUAUUUAUAAGCUACCGUAUCAGGAUGGGUCCGCGUACCAUUAGCUAGUUGGUGGGGUAAUGGCCUACCAAGGCGACGAUGGUUAGCUGGUCCGAGAGGAUGGUCAGCCACACUGGAACUGAGACACGGUCCAGACUCCUACGGGAGGCAGCAGUGGGGAAUUUUGCGCAAUGGGGGAAACCCUGACGCAGCAACGCCGCGUGAGUGAUGAAGGCUUUCGGGUCGUGAAGCUCUGUCAGAGGGGAAGAAAUGAAACUGGCUAAUAUCCAGUUUUCUUGACGGUACCCCUAAAGGAAGCACCGGCUAACUCCGUGCCAGCAGCCGCGGUAAUAC